GGAAGAGGGUAUCACAUGGGCAAAAGAUGAGAUGUAGAGAACUAGAGAUAUCAAACCAAACCUUAUCUGACGUCCAUUUAAACACCAGCCUGCACGCCUUCCUUGCCCAGAGGAUUGUCAGAGAGAGAGAGAGAGAGAGAGAGAGAGGGAGGGGCCGGCUUGGGGAAACCCAGCCAACCCAGAAAACGGACAGAAUCCAACGCCGACGACGGAGGCAGCGACCGACUCUUGCCCUCUCUCUUUUGAAUUUUGCCCGAAUCGACAUGGCUGGGGCUCAUCUUCCGUUCGAAUCACCCCAACGGAAUCUGGAUAGCCAGGAAUCGUUAGAAGAUUAUUACAAUGGAAGCCAGAACUAAUUGACAAACCAAACGCACAUGGUUGGACACCACUCCACUAUACUGUGCAUCGUGGUAAUGCAUACCUAGUUAUAGCGAAACAAAUUAUUUACUAGUGCACAUUAGAACUGGAGACGAAGAUGGGAAUACGAGUAAUUAAAUUUAUCUUCAAAAUGUCAUGGUCAAAUCAGAAAGAUAAUGAAGGGAAGACGCCUCUCCAUUUGCUUGCUAUAUUCAACCUAAAAAAUAGGGCGUUUUGGAAGAGAUAUGGAGGAUAUUGGUUUGCAUUCAACAAUUAAAACAUGAACUCUGUCGGGCUCAUAUUUUGUUUGUUGAAUGCAAACCAAUAUCCUACAUAUCUCCUCCAAAACGCCUUAUUUUUUAGGUUGGAUCUAGCAAGCAAAUGGAGAGGCGUGUUCCCUUCAUUAUCUUUUUGAUUUAUAAGUUGGCUUGACCAUGACAUUUUGAAGAUAAAUUUAAUCACCUGUCUUCUCUUCAUAUAUGCCGCAAUGCGAAGAAUGUUACUUUUUGUAUGAUCAACCGCCUCCCAACAUUCUGGACACUUUGAUAAGUUUCAUUACCUUCACAUUCCCUAUAGCCGCAGCUAUGUGAAGAGCUAUUUUUCCGCCAUCUUCGUCUCUAGUUGUAAUGUACGCCAGUAAAUAAUUCGUUUCUAGUAUCGUUGUAGCUAGGUAUGCAUUGCCAUGACGCACAACACAGUGAAGUGGUGUCCAUCCAUGUGCGUUUGGCUUGAAGUGCAUGCAUUGGAUUUGGAUGACAAAAAUCUGGGACAGGGGAUCCUGUGUGUGCAAAUGUUGGGAUUUGGAGGGACUAAUGGUAGUAGGGUUGAAGUCUUAGUUGCAUGAAGCAGGAGCGGGGAUGGCAACGGCAACGGGGGAGUGGAUCAUCAUAGGAGUGUGGUUAGAAAUGCGCAAUAAAAAGUGGGUUGGAGCCUCUCUUGCCGUCUCUCUUACGAAAGUUCUAUUCUGAUUUGGGUGACCGAGAUCGAAAGGAUUUAUCUGGACGGCCGCUUUUGAGUUAUGAUUUACGCAUACGUAUCAAGAGCGUUGGAAAAUAUGACAUACAGGUUUGAUGAGUUGUUUCGGCCUAGUUCAGCACUAGACCAUUUCACACGUGAGGGAGAAAGAUGAAACUUGAUUUCUGGUGCUAGGUUUUCAUCAAAAGGCAAGUAUAUUAUUGGGAAAGUGACUACUCAGAUCAAGCUUGUGGAAGGGGACUUUGCUGGAACUGGCUCACCUUUCUAUCUCCAAGGGCGUUGAUCAUAGCUGAAUACACCGGAGUUCACCUGGAGCAUGAGGCCUUCCAGUUCUGAGGCAAGUGAGAAUGCUCUUGUAACACAGCUUUCCAGGCAUAGAGCACCUGUUUGUGGCGUAGAAUUUAAUGCUCUUACACCGAACCAUCUUGCAUCUGGGGCUGAUAAAGGUUGUAUAUGGGAUAUUGCAAAACUGGUAGAAGCUCUACUUGUUUUUCUCCUCUCAAGGUAUCUGCAAAAUAUUUCUAACUCUACUUGCACGGAAGUAAUUUGUUUAGUCGAUCCAUGACUUGGUAGUGCUUCUAAUAAUGCAAACUCCUCAGUACAUAGAUAAAGAAGUGACGGGCCUCGAUUUUCUUGUCAUGAUUACGAUUUCGUAAAUAUCCCUUAUUUUGCGAGAAAUAACAGUUGAAGAGGUAUUACUUACAACAGUUCUUGAAAAUUAGGUUCUGCCUCUCCUUUUUGUUUCUGCCAAUGUGAGAUUCCCAUGGGUAUUUAGGGAAGGUUAUUUCGCAUUUGUUUGGUAAUCACUUUUUGUCUUGAGCUACAUUCUGGGCAUACCUUUUCAGCAUUCACCCAACUUUGUAGGAAGUUUAGAAUAAAUUUCUCGACCCUUCUAUUGAUUUUUUGCAUUAGUGUAAUGGAGACAAUUUUAAUGGGUGCAUCCAAAUCAUUUUGAUUUCAGUCAUUUGCGUCCAUAUUAUUUUCUUUAAACUUUUGCCGUGUCCCAUAAAAAGUCGAUGCAAGUCCACAAAAGCAAUGUGUUGGAUGUUUCACAAACACCUGUUGAGCCAUCCAAUUUGUGCUGGAGCUUGAAACAUGGAAGCGCACCCAACAAGAAAGCUCCAAAGUUAGCUCAUCAACAUGCUACGACGACAUGGAAGAAGAUGAAUCUAAACAGCUUCUGGAACACAAACACAAGAAAGAAUAGUGCUCCAAUCUAAUGCCAUCAAGCAAUCUCAGCAAAAUAGACAUCAAAGCAAAUUUUUUGGUGUGAAUGAUUUGCAACUAUGUCUAUUUUAAAUGCCUUAGCACCAUGUAGCAAUGGACAAAUCUUUUGCUUCAGCUAUUAACAAUAGACAACAAAGCAAAUCUUUUGUUGUGAAUGAUUUGCAGUGUUGUCUGUUCGCUAGGAAAAUCUUUUGGUCCGGACAAUUUGCUGCUGAAAAUUGGAAUUAUUCAGUAUUUGUAAAUUUCUAUAAAUCACUUUUGUGCACAGUUACGCCU